UUAUGCUGUCUUUCUUGGACGUUUCCUCCCUGAACUUGGGCCGUAGGUAACUACGGCCCCUUUUUUUCGGCGGU
rnacentral:sRNA from 1 species